rnacentral:ncRNA from 1 species
UUAAAGUUUUAUUUUUGCUUAAAAAUUUGUUUAUAAUUUAUUUUACAUGUAAGUUUUUGCGUGAAUUAUAAAAUAAUUAAAAAUUUCAUAUAUAAUUUAUUCGCAGUAAUUAAUAUUAUUUAUCUAAGAAAUUGGGAAUUAGUAAUAUUAUUUAAUAUUGGUUAAAUUUGUGCCAGCAGCCGCGGUUAUACAUAGAAUAUAAAUAAAUUUUAUUGGUAAUAGUUAGAUUGAAAAGUUUGAAUUAAUUUGAUUUUGUUAGGUGAAAUUUUAUAAUUGAAUUUGUUUAUUAAAGAGAUAAUUGAAACUAGGAAAAUUUAGUUAAUAGACUAGGAUUAGAUACCCUAUUAUUUAAAUAAUAAAUAUAAAUACCUGAGUAGUAAUAGUUAUGAUCUUGAAACUUAAAGAAUUUGGCGGUAUUUUAAUCUAUUCAGAGGAACCUGUUCUGUAAUCGAUAAUCCACGAGGACUUUACUUAAUCUUGUCUACAAUUUGUAUACCGCCGUUAUUGAUUAUCUUUUAAGAGAAAUAAUUUUCUUAAUUUUUUUAAAAAGUAUAUCAGGUCAAGGUGCAGUUUAUGUUUAAGGAAGAAAUGGGUUACAAUAAAAUUAUUUAAACAGAUAUAUAAUUGAAAUAUUAUAUUGAAGGUGGAUUUGAUAGUAAAAUUAUGAAUUUAGUUAAUUUGAUUUUAGCUCUAAAAUAUGUACACAUCGCCCGUCGCUCUUAUUUCUUUAUUUAUAAUAUAAAAUAAGAUAAGUCGUAACAUAGUAGAAUUACUGGAAAGUGAUUCUAGAAUGA